rnacentral:rRNA from 1 species
UAUACGGUGAAACUGCGAAUGGCUCAUUAAAUCAGUUAUCGUUUAUUUGAUAGUACCUUACUACUUGGAUAACCGUGGUAAUUCUAGAGCUAAUACAUGCUGAAAACCCCGACUUCCGAAGGGGUGUAUUUAUUAGAUAAAAAACCAAUGCCCUCCGGGGCUCCGUGGUGAUUCAUAAUAACUNAACGAAUCGCAUGGCCUUGCGCCGGCGAUGGUUCAUUCAAAUUUCUGCCCUAUCAACUUUCGAUGGUAGGAUAGUGGCCUACCAUGGUGUCAACGGGUAACGGGGAAUUAGGGUUCUAUUCCGGAGAGGGAGCCUGAGAAACGGCUACCACAUCCAAGGAAGGCAGCAGGCGCGCAAAUUACCCAAUCCCAAUUCGGGGAGGUAGUGACAAUAAAUACUGAUAGCGAAUUCUUUCGGAUUUGCAAUUGGAAUGAGUACAAUUUAAAUCCCUUAACGAGGAACAAUUGGAGGGCAAGUCUGGUGCCAGCAGCCGCGGUAAUUCCAGCUCCAAUAGCGUAUAUUAAAGUUGUUGCAGUUAAAAAACUCCUAAUUGAACCUUGGGCCUGGGUGUUCGGUCCGCCUCACCGCGUGCACUGGUUCGGCCGGGCCUUUCCUUCUGGGGAGCCGCAUGCCCUUCACUGGGUGUGUCGGGGAACCAGGACUUUUACUUUGAAAAAAUUAGAAUGUUCAAAGCAGGCCUAUGCUCGAAUACUUUAGCGUGGAAUAAUAGAAUAGGACGUGCGGUUCUAUUUUGUUGGUUUCUAGGAACGCCGUAAUGAUUAAUAGGGAUAGUCGGGGGCAUCAGUAUUCAAUUGUCAGAGGUGAAAUUCUUGGAUUUAUUGAAAACUAACUACUGCGAAAACAUUUGCCAAGGAUGUUUUCAUUAAUCAGUGAACGAAAGUUGGGGAUCGAAAACAAUCAGAUUCCGUCGUAUUCUUAACCAUAAACUAUGCCGACUAGGGAUCGGACGGUGUUACAUAUU